CCUACGGGGAGCAGCAGUGGGGGAUAUUGCACAAUGGGGGAAACCCUGAUGCAGCGACGCCGCGUGAGUGAAGAAGUAUUUCGGUAUGUAAAGCUCUAUCAGCAGGGAAGAAAAUGAGAGGACCUGACCAAGAAGCCCCGGCAAACUACGUGACAGCAGCCGCGGGAAUACGUAGGGGGCAAGCGUUAUCCGGAUUUACUGGGUGUAAAGGGAGCGUAGACGGUUAUGUAAGUAUGGAGUGAAAGCCCGGGGCCUAACCCCGGGACUGCGUUGGAAACUGUGUAAAUGGAGUGCAGGAGGGGCAGGCGGAAUUCCUGGUGUAGCGGUGAAAUGCGUAGAUAUCAGGAGGAACACCGGCGGCGAAGGCGGCCUGCUGGACUGAAACUGACGUUGAGGCUCGAAAGCGUGGGGAGCAAACAGGAUUAGAUACCCUGGUAGUC
rnacentral:rRNA from 1 species